GACGAACGCUGGCGGCGUGCCUAAUACAUGCAAGUGGAACGCAUUUUAAUCACCGUAGCUUGCUACACCGAAUAAAAUGAGUCGCGAACGGGUGAGUAACGCGUAGGUAACCUACCUUCUAGCGGGGGACAACUAUUGGAAACGAUAGCUAAUGCCGCAUAAGACAUUAUAUCGCAUGAUAGGAUGUUAAAAGAUACAAUUGUAUCACUAGGAGAUGGACCUGCGUUGUAUUAGCUAGUUGGUGAGGUAACGGCUCACCAAGGCAGCGAUACAUAGCCGACCUGAGAGGGUGAUCGGCCACACUGGGACUGAGACACGGCCCAGACUCCUACGGGAGGCCGCAGUAGGGAAUCUUCGGCAAUGGGGGCAACCCUGACCGAGCAACGCCGCGUGAGUGAAGAAGGUUUUCGGAUCGUAAAGCUCUGUUGUAAGCGAAGAAGAGUGUUAGGAGUGGAAAAUCUAACACAUGACGGUAGCUUACCAGAAAGGGACGGCUAACUACGUGCCAGCAGCCGCGGUAAUACGUAGGUCUCGAGCGUUGUCCGGAUUUAUUGGGCGUAAAGCGAGCGCAGGCGGUUAGAUAAGUCAGAAGUUAAAGGCUGUGGCUCAACCAUAGUAUGCUUUUGAAACUGUUUAACUUGAGUGCAGAAGGGGAGAGUGGAAUUCCAUGUGUAGCGGUGAAAUGCGUAGAUAUAUGGAGGAACACCGGUGGCGAAAGCGGCUCUCUGGUCUGUGACUGACGCUGAGGCUCGAAGGCGUGGGUAGCGAACAGGAUUAGAUACCCUGGUAGUCCACGCCGUAAACGAUGAGUGCUAGGUGUUAGACCCUUUCCGGGGUUUAGUGCCGUAGCUAACGCAUUAAGCACUCCGCCUGGGGAGUACGACCGCAAGGUUGAAACUCAAAGGAAUUGACGGGGGCCCGCACAAGCGGUGGAGCAUGGUGGUUUAAUUCGAAGCAACGCGAAGAACCUUACCAGGUCUUGACAUCCCUCUGACCGGUCUAGAGAUAGGCUUUCCCUUUUGGGCAGAGGAGACAGGUGGUGCAUGGUUGUCGUCAGCUCGUGUCGUGAGAUGUUGGGUUAAGUCCCGCAACGAGCGCAACCCUUAUUGUUAGUUGCCAUCAUUGAGUUGGGCACUCUAGCGAGACUGCCGGUAAUAAACCGGAGGAAGGUGGGGAUGACGUCAAAUCAUCAUGCCCCUUAUGACCUGGGCUACACACGUGCUACAAUGGUUGGUACAACGAGUCGCAAGCCGGUGACGGCAAGCUAAUCUCUUAAAGCCAAUCUCAGUUCGGAUUGUAGGCUGCAACUCGCCUACAUGAAGUCGGAAUCGCUAGUAAUCGCGGAUCAGCACGCCGCGGUGAAUACGUUCCCGGGCCU
rnacentral:rRNA from 1 species